rnacentral:rRNA from 1 species
UUCACUCUGGGACAAGCCCUGGAAACGGGGUCUAAUACCGGAUACCAGUUCCUGCGGCAUCUCUUGGAGUGGAAAGCUCCGGCGGUGAAGGAUGAGCCCGCGGCCUAUCAGCUUGUUGGUGGGGUAAUGGCCUACCAAGGCGACGACGGGUAGCCGGCCUGAGAGGGCGACCGGCCACACUGGGACUGAGACACGGCCCAGACUCCUACGGGAGGCAGCAGUGGGGAAUAUUGCACAAUGGGCGCAAGCCUGAUGCAGCGACGCCGCGUGAGGGAUGACGGCCUUCGGGUUGUAAACCUCUUUCAGCAGGGAAGAAGCGCAAGUGACGGUACCUGCAGAAGAAGCGCCGGCUAACUACGUGCCAGCAGCCGCGGUAAUACGUAGGGCGCAAGCGUUGUCCGGAAUUAUUGGGCGUAAAGAGCUCGUAGGCGGCUUGUCACGUCGGGUGUGAAAGCCCGGGGCUUAACCCCGGGUCUGCAUCCGAUACGGGCAGGCUAGAGUGUGGUAGGGGAGAUCGGAAUUCCUGGUGUAGCGGUGAAAUGCGCAGAUAUCACGAGGAACACCGGUGGCGAAGGCGGAUCUCUGGGCCAUUACUGACGCUGAGGAGCGAAAGCGUGGGGAGCGAACAGG